UGGGAGCUUGCUCCCUGAUGUUAGCGGCGGACGGGUGAGUAACACGUGGGUAACCUGCCUGUAAGACUGGGAUAACUCCGGGAAACCGGGGCUAAUACCGGAUGGUUGUCUGAACCGCAGUUCCAUAAAAGGUGGCUUCGGCUACCACUUACAGAUGGACCCGCGGCGCAUUAGCUAGUUGGUGAGGUAACGGCUCACCAAGGCGACGAUGCGUAGCCGACCUGAGAGGGUGAUCGGCCACACUGGGACUGAGACACGGCCCAGACUCCUACGGGAGGCAGCAGUAGGGAAUCUUCCGCAAUGGACGAAAGUCUGACGGAGCAACGCCGCGUGAGUGAUGAAGGUUUUCGGAUCGUAAAGCUCUGUUGUUAGGGAAGAACAAGUGCCGUUCAAAUAGGGCGGCACCUUGACGGUACCUAACCAGAAAGCCACGGCUAACUACGUGC
rnacentral:rRNA from 1 species